rnacentral:misc_RNA from 1 species
ACUGGAUGACGAUUUGCUGCUUGCUCUCCUCGUGUGUUGACAAGUGUUUAAAAUUAUGAAGAACGAGUUAUUGUGGCCCAGGAGUGUUAUCAGAUAUUUGUGCGAACUGAUAGAAGGGCACAGAUUCCUCUGGGACCCACAAAAUGUGGACUAUCCCAAGCAUAAACUCAGAUUGAAAGUGUUUGGUGAGAUAGCCCAGGAAAUCAAGGCUCAAUACCCAGCGAUGACCACUUUGACUGCAGAGAGAAACUGGAAAUAUAAUGGCAGAAGAGGAAGAUUCUGUGAGGUUUAAAGGAGCUGCAUUGCACAGUCACUCAGUACAAGAUGCUACACUGCUGCAAGUUUGGUGUGUAGCACCUGUGUUCCUCUCUGCUGGACAGGCAUGGGUGGUUGGCUCAUGUAGGCUAGUGUCUCACCAUGCCUGACACACUGCCAGGUGGGGGCAGGGGUGGCAGGAGUGAGGAGCACCACUGGAGGGAUCCAAAACCAGUUGGUGAUGGCUUAAUGGAAUUGGUGUGGACUAACUCAAUCAUUAGCAGUGUGCUCUGAUUGCUUAAUCUAGAGUAUUUUAUUCUUUUCUGUUAAGUGUAGUGUCAUAUAGAACUCUUUUCAUGGCAGUGAAGAGCAGCCACACACACUGUUUUAUAUUGUAUUGUUAUAUGAAUAUAUGAAUAUAUUAUAUGAAGUUUACGGACUGAUGGUUUCAAAGCUAUUCUUUUUGACAUUGUUCUUUAUUCCUUUUUUUAUUGGGACUUGCAAAAAAAUGCUAACUUGAUGGGGUGUUUCUAAAGUUCGUGUAGAGUCAUUAUGGAACUUUAAAAUGAGAUUAGAGAAAUUUAUGGAAAGUGAAGAUGAUGAUGAUAGGUGGAGAAGGUAGACAUGUUUCAUGCAGGGACUGCCACGUGUAGGCCUGGUGGCUUCUUGCAGCAUCCCUUUUCAUAUGUUCUUAUUAUUGCUGCAAAUGAUAUAUCUCUCCUUACUUUGAUAACUAUGUGCUCACUGUUCCUCUCCACCAGUGUUUUGUAAAGCUGUUCGUUCCUCCAUGGAGUAGGUGAUGGGUGGUGGUGAGGCUUGCCCUUCAUACCUCCAUCACCUCUGUUGUGUAGCGAAGCCUCCACAAAUAAGUGUGCUUUUUCAUAACACUAUAUUAAUGUAUUUACUCUCCUAAUGGUAAGGUUAUUAAAUAAUGUAAGGGAAAUGUCUGUUUGUGUAUAAUUCUGGUACCAAAGUAUCUUAUUAUGUUUUAAGGACAUGAGCAUUUCUUUCAAUGAGUUGCUUCCUUUGUAUUUCUUUGUCCAUUGCUUUGUUUGCUACUUUUGUUUUGUAUUCAUGUACUCUGAUCACAUCCAUUAUUACAAUCUCAUGCUUUAUAGGAGCAGAUUGCUUAUCUGUUGCUGCACUGCCUUUCCAUUUUCUUCAGCCUAUGCUCUCUUUCCACACUGUCCUUAGCCAUCCAUCCUGCAUGUCUUGCCUUGAUUGGUUCUAUCCGUUCCAGCACGUCCCUCCUCACAGCCGAGUUGCUCAUCGCCUUGCCUUCUUCCAACCCUGAUGUGGAAGUGGCAGGAAUAUUGGAUGUGACUAAUGCACUGGUCUAUCAGGAA